CCUACGGGUGGCAGCAGUGAGGAAUAUUGGUCAAUGGGCGGAAGCCUGAACCAGCCAAGUAGCGUGCGGGAUGAAGGCCCUACGGGUCGUAAACCGCUUUUGCACGGGGAUAACACCCUCCACUUGUGGAGGUCUGCAGGUACCGUGCGAAUAAGGGCCGGCUAAUUCCGUGCCAGCAGCCGCGGUAAUACGGAAGGCCCGAGCGUUAUCCGGAUUCAUUGGGCUUAAAGGGAGCGUAGGCGGGCGUUCAAGUCAGCUGUAAAAUCGCGCGGCUCAACCGCGCCCCGCAGUUGAAACUGGACGCCUUGAGUUCACAACAGGCAGGCGGAAUUCGUGGUGUAGCGGUGAAAUGCAUAGAUAUCAUACAGAACACCGAUUGCGAAGGCAGCUUACCAAACUAUAUCUGACGUUGAGGCACGAAAGCGUGGGUAGCAAACAGGAUUAGAUACCCUUGUAGUC
rnacentral:rRNA from 1 species